UACGUAGGGUGCGAGCGUUGUCCGGAAUUAUUGGGCGUAAAGGGCUCGUAGGCGGUUUGUCGCGUCGGGAGUGAAAUCCACUGGCUUAACUGGUGGCUUACUUUCGAUACGGGCAGACUGGAGGUAUGCAGGGGAGAACGGAAUUCCUGGUGUAGCGGUGAAAUGCGCAGAUAUCAGGAGGAACACCGGUGGCGAAGGCGGUUCUCUGGGCAUUACCUGACGCUGAGGAGCGAAAGUGUGGGGAGCGAACAGG
rnacentral:rRNA from 1 species